rnacentral:rRNA from 1 species
UACGAAGGGGGCUAGCGUUGCUCGGAAUGACUGGGCGUAAAGGGCGCGUAGGCGGCUUGGCAAGUCAGGCGUGAAAUUCCUGGGCUCAACCUGGGGGCUGCGCUUGAGACUGCUGGGCUUGAGGAUGGAAGAGGCUCGUGGAAUUCCCAGUGUAGAGGUGAAAUGCGCAGAUAUCAGGAGGAACACCGAUGGCGAAGGCAGGUCUCUGGGCAUUAACUGACGCUGAGGAGCGAAGCGUGGGAGCAAACAGG